AUAAUUCCCAUUUUAAAGAUGAAGAAAAUAGAGGCCCAGGAAGGAUGGGGUGGGAAAGGGCUGAAGUUCAAGGUUGCGGGGGGCAGGAAGGCCAGGUCAGUCCAGCCCCAGCUCCUCUGUGUGCUGGGGAGAGGCGGGGGCUGGGUGGUUUUCACUCCCGGGAAGAGGCAGCAUCUGAGAGCCCAGGAAAUCCCCAAGGCCCUACUGACCGGGCCAAACGCAAAGGACUUCUCACACCUGAACUUGUGACGGUGAUGAAGGAUGUAGCUAUAGACUCUCCCAUCCGUUUCUUCCAUUCAGGGCAGGCACCUCGCCCAGGACAGAACAUCUCCGCCACUCCUCACAGGAAGCCGGGGCAGGUGCCCAGGUGGUCUCGCCCAGAGUCCGUCGCUCAAAGUGACUGCAGAGAAGCUUGCUGCCAGGGCUUUAUGUUUCCCUGCAGACCCUUCUCCACAUCAGGACCCCAGCGCCCGGCGCAGUGUGUUCUUUCAAGGUUUGUUGGUUGAAUAAACUAAUUCUUGUUUGUUUGGUUUUUGUUUUAAAAAUACAACAGAACCAAAAAAGGAACUACUGACGGAAUAACGGGGCGUGGGAUGAGAAGCUCGUUUCCCCGAAAACGCUGCGUGGGAGUGGAACCCGCUUGGGACACCUGCGCACCCUCUCUCACCAGCAGGGCCACUUCCGCCAGCUUUACACAGACGCUUUCCUUCCACCUAGAUGUGUGUCCCGGAUUUCGUUUGGUUGAUCGAUGAAGGAGACAAGUGACCCCAUGGUGAGAUUAUUGAAUGGCACUAGAAUGGACAUUUCAAAGGAUAACCUUGAAAAAUAAAGGAGCAAUGAAGUUCUCCCCUCACUCAGUGGCCAGUCCGCACGCCGUUCAGGGGUGUGGUCAACUUCAUCGAAAGGAAUCGUCCUCAUGAAAAAAGAGACACAAUGUGAGACACAAUGGACACGUCACAGGGACGUGGAACACGUGGCCACUGGUAUAGACUGCAAACAACGGAGGUCCAGACAGUGAGUCGGUUGGGCCGGGUGUUACCCAGACACGAGCCAGUAUCCCUUCACCGUUAUCAAUAGUGGGUGCAGCAGCCGGACCUCAAGACGUUUGCCUACACGGCAGGCAGGUCCUGCUCACAGGCAGAAACUUCACAGAGCAAGUGGCCUGGAAACGUUUGCAUCUUGAAGGCCUCAGCUGUUGGGCCACGUGUUUAACAGCAUCGGCCCCGGAAGGUUCCACUUUCUUGCGUCGUGAUGUCAGAUGGGCCUUAACAUGAGCCUUGGACAGUGCCUCUGUGGGCAGUGCCCGCCACGCCUCUGCUGUCGCACAUCCACUUGCAGUGGCUGUCACCGGCUGUCGGCCCAGGCAGGCAGCACAUGCAGGCCCGUUCAGAAAGGCUGCCGAGGGAGAAGCGGGUUGAGUUUGCACCCAGGCCUCACGAACUCUCAGUCCUGCUGGGCUGGCCUGGUGCGACCCCGUGUGCACCUUUCUGUCCCAGGGGGGCCCCGUGCAGCCUGGAGCCCUGGAGACUGCCGCGAGCUUCCGUGGUGACAGGACAGAGGGGAUCAGACUGUAUUCCCUGCUCCCCAGGCUGAUGGUUGCUCAAACCACACAGCCCCUGGCUUUCUGCGUCUUUGUGAAAAAUGGUGAAAUUUUGCCGGCAAACAGGUUUUUCUGGCUGAUUCCCCGUAAGAUGGAUGUUUUCCUUGACUGAGGGAAGCCAGGGUCCUUCAGGAAUGUUUGCAGGAGGAGCCGUGGGAUUUGGGUGUAGACCUGUUUCUGAGGGCCACUGCGCUUAAUUGGUCAAACAGGCCUGGAAAACCAGCGCAUCCUCCAGAUGUACCACUUGGAAAUUCAUGGCCAGGCCAGACAGGCACGCUUCGGGCUCACCUAUUCCGGUGAAUAAAAUCAGCCAGACAACCUCUCCGGCCUCAGCAUCCACCGAGCUUUCUGGGGCUGGAGCUUUCUGCGUGCUCUCCUAGGGCCCCUGGAUCAAGUCCUCUGCAAACGUUAAAGUGCAGAAUGCUUGCAAGCUGUCAUCCGGAUGACGGCAAUGAGGGAAGUACGUCUUGGGAAUGAAAUUAAUUGAUGUUUGUAAAACAUGCAACCGUCUUCCUGCUCUCCCGACUGGGAACGCGUGAGCCCUUGGGAGCCUGGGAGACGGGGCCACAGAACCGCGGUGCACAUACGCUGCCCUUCAGAUGUGCGGCGAGAUACAGCCUGUUGUGAGGAGGGCAGCUGUAGCUGUGGACACUUGGAGGAAAUGAAUGUCAGGCCUGGAGGAAUGCUUCCCAGGGGAGGGGUCCCGUAGAUGAGUUGAAUUCACCAGGUCGGAGGGGAGGAGGGUAUUCAAGACAGAGGAAACGGCACACAGAAAGAUGGAUGAGGGCAUCAAAGUGUGGACAGGAUGGCAAGUUGUUUGAGGGCACAGACCAGGGAGGGCGAGGGCGUGAGUGCCUGGCUGGUUGGCAAGUAACCAGGGUCCAUAUCAAUGGAGCACUUGCCCUGUGCUGGGUUAAACGUUUGAUGUGUAUCUAAGUCUAACCCUAGCCCCCCGCUUCACCCCCAAAGAACUUGGUCCUGUGGACUCCCCAUUUGGCAGAGAGGUUGAAUACCUCAUCCAAGGUCAUAGGGCGGGGAAGUGACAGGGUCAGGAUUCCGAGCCAUCAGCCUGGCACAGACCACGUGCCUUCGCCAUUGGACAGGCCUGCCAGCACCUCUGGGAGGCUGGGCUGAGCCGUCAGCACGUGGCUCUCGAGUGAAGGCAAAUCAAGUCCUGGGAGGUUUUGCACAGGGAGCACCGCGGGCCGCUGUGGAACUCCGGAGAGCUGGGUUCGGGCUUCGGCUAAAUGGAAACAAAAGGGAGAGGUUUGGGGAGGGGGCAGGUGAUGAGCCAGCAGAGUUAGAGGUCAACUUAAGCAGCCACAGCUCCAUGGAGACGUUCUCAAAAGCAGGAGGGAAGAGAUUGGCAGCCC